CCUACGGGAGGCAGCAGUGGGGAAUAUUGCACAAUGGGGGGAACCCUGAUGCAGCGACGCCGCGUGAGUGAAGAAGUAUUUCGGUAUGUAAAGCUCUAUCAGCAGGGAAGAAAAUGACGGUACCUGACUAAGAAGCCCCGGCUACCUACGUGCCAGCAGCCGCGGUAAUACGUAGGGGGCAAGCGUGAUCCGGAUUUACUGGGUGUAAAGGGGGCGCAGACGGCUGUGCAAGUCUGGGGUGAAAGGCGGGGGCCCAACCCCCGGACUGCUCUGGAAACUGUAAGGCUGGAGUGCAGGAGAGGUAAGUGGAAUUCCUAGUGUAGCGGUGAAAUGCGUAGAUAUUAGGAGGAACACCAGUGGCGAAGGCGGCUUACUGGACUGCAACUGACGUUGAGGCUCGAAAGCGUGGGGAGCAAACAGGAUUAGAUACCCGAGUAGUC
rnacentral:rRNA from 1 species